rnacentral:tRNA from 3 species
GGAAGGGUGGCUGAGUGGUUUAAGGCACCUGACUCGAAAUCAGGCGUAGCCGCAAGGCUACCGUGGGUUCGAAUCCCACCCCUUCCGCCA